rnacentral:lncRNA from 10 species
UGCAUCAGGCCCACAACUGACCAGAAUAGACUUCCUUUCUCUUUUCUGUCUGCUCCCUAUGGAGCAGUUGAGAAGGUUCAUUUGCAUACAUCUUCAUUUAUUGUCCUUCCAAAGCCUUUGAUACCGAGCACGCUAAGAUGGGUAUCCUCAUUUUACAAAGAUCAAGGCAGAGAGAAGAGAAGGGACUCGCCUAGGAUCACACAAUUGACAUGUCAUCGCUGAGACCAGCAGUAAAUACACAGAUGGAUAAGACUCAAAAGAACCUACAAAUCCUGUACAAUGAAAUCACGUGGCAAGAAUGUGGUUAUUCUGAGAAACAGAAUAAAGCAGCAUUUUGCUGUGCCUUUUCACACAGCUGCCAAUCAAUGGAGAGACGGGGUUUCACCGUGUUGGCCGGGAUGGUCUCUGUCAGGCCUCUGAGCCCAAGCCAAGCCAUCGCAUCCCCUGUGACUUGCACGUAUACGCCCAGAUGGCCUGAAGUAACUGAAGAAUCACAAAAGAAGUGAAAAGGCCCUGCCCCGCCUUAACUGAUGACAUUCCACCAUUGUGAUUUGUUCCUGCCCCACCUUAACUGAGUGAUUAACCCUGUGAAUUUCCUACUCCUGGCUCAGAAGCUCCCCCACUGAGCACCUUGAGACCCCUGCCCCUGCCCACCAAAGAACAACCCCCUUUGACUGUAAUUUUCCAUUACCUUCCCAAAUCCUAUAAAACGGCCCCACCCCUAUCUCCCUUUGCUGACUCUCUUUUCGGACUCAGCCCGCCUGCACCCAAUGAAAUAAACAG